rnacentral:rRNA from 1 species
CGUUGGCGCCGCCGCCGGACCACGAGCGUAGCAAGACGAGAGUCAAUCGCAUCGAUUUGGUUUCCGACGGAGGUCCGCCUUGUGACUGCACUUUCGAGUGUAGUUGAAAAACUUCUCAAGUUGGCCU